rnacentral:lncRNA from 1 species
GACCGCCAUGGUGACUUGCAAGCAACUCACUGCACUUAAGCAUUGGACUACCUGAAUUUUUAAUUCAGUGACGGAAGGCUGCUGGGUGUAGUCAAGUACUUGACUUAUCGGUGCGUAUGUCAAGAUGGGAUUGACCACUCCAGUUCAGGAGCUGUGUACAGUCAUGUUUCAAUUUAGCAAAACCUUGGCCAGAGUAGUCCUAGUGAGGAGUCAUAGGAUUGUU